rnacentral:lncRNA from 1 species
UAAUAAUAGACCAUAAUAGUGAAAGAAAUGAGGUUCUUAUUGCAGUUUCCAUACUUUUCAUGUUUCUGUUUUGUCACACCAAAGAAAGAGAAGCAUAGGGAGAAGAAGAAUGAAGUCAAGAGACCUUAAUAAAGGGAAAAUCUCCAGCUAUAAUGUUCCUCAUGAGUCAUGUUCAUGAAUAUUCAUUAGGAAUUUCUAUAAUUUACUAUCAUUUUUAACAUUUUCUGCCUAUGUCAAUGUAUAUCGCGUCUUCUUAUGUAAUGCUUCAUGCUUUGCAAGAGAAAUGUUAACAUUGCGCGCCCUUUAACACUUUCACUUGAAGUGUUAUAUUUAUUGGAUGAAAUUCAUGCGAGUUACCUUUUGUCACUUUCAUUUAAUAACUAAAGUCCCUAUAAUAACAAUAAAUAACCACUUACCUAGCCAUAACUAGUACUAUAUGAUUAAGAUUAAGAACCAUAUGUCAGCUCUGAGAAUGAGGGUUUCCUCUUUUAAUAUCAACUCUACAUAAUUUACAUGCAUAUCUUAGAAAAGUGGAUGAAUAAAGGAUAAUUCAUCCACUUUCUAUAAAAGUUAGAGUUUUCAGUUCAUAUGAAAUGGCCAAGACAUUUGUAUACACAUGUGUGAUAUG